rnacentral:rRNA from 1 species
GACGAACGCUGGCGGCGCGCCUAACACAUGCAAGUCGAACGGAGCUGAGAGGAGCUUGCUUUUCUUAGCUUAGUGGCGAACGGGUGAGUAACGCGUGAGUAACCUGCCCUGGAGUGGGGGACAACAGUUGGAAACGACUGCUAAUACCGCAUAAGCCCACGGCCCGGCAUCGGGCUGCGGGAAAAGGAUUUAUUCGCUUCAGGAUGGACUCGCGUCCAAUUAGCUAGUUGGUGAGGUAACGGCCCACCAAGGCGACGAUUGGUAGCCGGACUGAGAGGUUGAACGGCCACAUUGGGACUGAGACACGGCCCAGACUCCUACGGGAGGCAGCAGUGGGGGAUAUUGCACAAUGGGGGAAACCCUGAUGCAGCGACGCCGCGUGGAGGAAGAAGGUUUUCGGAUUGUAAACUCCUGUCGUUAGGGAC